UACGAAGGGGGCUAGCGUUGCUCGGAAUUACUGGGCGUAAAGGGCGCGUAGGCGGGUCGUUAAGUUAGAGGUGAAAGCCCAGGGCUCAACCCUGGAAUUGCCUUUGAUACUGGCGACCUUGAGUAUGGCAGAGGUGCGUGGAACUCCGAGUGUAGAGGUGCAAUUCGUAGAUAUUCGGAAGAACACCAGUGGCGAAGGCGACACACUGGGCCAUUACUGACGCUGAGGCACGAAAGCUAGGGGAGCAAACAGG
rnacentral:rRNA from 1 species